AUAGUUAUAAAUAAACAUAAAUAAUAAAAUCAACAAAUCAUAUUUCAGAUAUGAAAUUAUAUAAAUAAAUUAAUAAUUAGUUUUAAGUUAUUAUAAACCUAAAUUAAAUUAUUAAUACAGACUCGCGCGUAGGGCGAGUAAAAAAUUAGUCUAUCACUACUAUAUAAAAGGGGCUAAUUUUGGAGCUUCUAAGGGGUGCCACACGGGCAGAAAUAUUUCCCACCAAUCAAUCUGCCAGGUCAUUGCGGACUGGGCUUGGAAUAAAAAAGUUAAGUUACAUUCCCAGCCCAUUUAAACCAUUUCGCAGCCCAAUCCAAAGACGGUCUUGAUACGGGUCGUGUUAUGUCGUCGUCUCGAUCCCGUUUCUUUUUUAAAAAAAAUCACCCUAACCCUAAUCGCCGUAUCGAUUCUCUUCCUCUCCCCCAACUCCUCCCGCAUAACGCCUCCGAUGAGAGUGCUGGUACUUCAAUGUUCUCCCAUAAAUCCUGCAUUCAAGAUCCCCACGGACCCUCCACAUCCCCCCUCCGGCUCGAUGAUAUCUAGAUCCCUAUUUAUACCCUUAUCACUCUUCCCUCAGAUCGUAAAAUCCAUACCCUUAUCAUGGCAAAAACAUAUUUGCCUUUGUUUGAAUCAGCUCUAGGACGUCGUCAACGUUUAUACGAGUGGGCUUGACAUCGAUCAAAGCAGUACAAUCAUGUUUGGCAGACAAUGAAGGUUUUGGAUGGAGUCCACACUCGGUCUCGGAUCCAUUUUGUCUCGGAUCCAUUUGGUGAUGCUUUCCAAUGGCUGGAGAUGUAGG
rnacentral:lncRNA from 1 species